CAUUUAAAUCGAAUCUUGAACGCAUAUGUGCGGCCUCGGGUCCAUCCCGAGGCCACGCCCGUCUGAGGGUCGGCU
rnacentral:rRNA from 1 species